GUGCUGCAGAGAGGAGUGAGGGAAGCUACGAGGCCAGCAGGAUCAGUGACCAGAAGGCCAUGGGCCUCCAGGUCACACGUGCACCCGCAGAUGGGAAAGCCUCGGUCCCAGAAGCCAUGUCAAGCCUGCCAUUGCUGGCACCUGUCAGCUGAGGCCCUGCAGACCUGGGACGAGAACGGCCAACAGAGGAUCCUGGACACCCAACGUACCCUGGACCAACACUUGUCUUGAGUCCUGGAGAGAGAGGGGCACUCAGAUCCCAUGCCUGGACCAAAGCAUCACAUCAUCCUGAGAUUCUGAGGACUGCCAGGGUAUGUGCACAGAC